rnacentral:sRNA from 1 species
CAUGCCCCUUAUACGCUGGGCUACACACGUGCUACAAUGGGUAGUACAGAGAGUCGCAAAGCCGUGAGGUGGAGCUAAUCUCAGAAAACUAUUCUUAGUUCGGAUUGUACUCUGCAACUCGAGUACAUGAAGUUGGAAUCGCUAGUAAUCGCGAAUCAGCAAUGUCGCGGUGAAUACGUUCUCGGGUCUUGUACACACCGCCCGUCACACCACGAGAGUUGGUUGCACCUGAAGUAGCAGGCCUAACCGUAAGGAGGGAUGCUCCGAGGGUGUGAUUAGCGAUUGGGGUGAAGUCGUAACAAGGUAUCCGUACGGGAACGUGCGGAUGGAUCACCUCCUUUCUAAGGAGAAAAUGUCUUUCUCUAUUCUAUUGGUAAUGUUCUUUACAUUACUUCUGAACAUUGGAAACUAUAUAGUAGAACAAACAAGAAAACAAAAUUAACUCUAACAAUUUCUUAGAGUUAGCUGUCAAAAAAAUAGAUUAAAAUAAUUAAGGGCACACAAAGGAUGCCUUGGUAGUAAGAGCCGAUGAAGGCACGUGGUAAGCUGCGAUAAGCCUA